rnacentral:RNase_P_RNA from 1 species
AAGGUAAAUUGGCUAAUCGAGUCCCGAGAAAUCGGGAUUAGGAAAGUCCGGACAUUCAUAAAAGGGUAGCGGGUAAUUCCCGUCUGGAGUAAUCCAAGAGGUGCGAGCAGAGACGUUCUGAUACGAAAGCAUCAGAAUAUCCUUCGGGAUAAGUUCUUGUGGAAACAUAAGAAGUGAAACGGCUAAAUCCUUACCUGAAUGCAAGGUCGUGUCUUGUUCUACACUAGUAAGAGCAAGAAGUGCCACUUAAGGCUAUUAGUAAUAAUAGUCUCAGAUAAAUGAUUAGCGAACACAAAAUCCGGUUUAUAGAUUUGCCUUGAUA